GUGAACGCUGGCGGUAGGCCUAACACAUGCAAGUCGAACGGCAGCACCGUAAGAGCUUGCUCUUACGGGUGGCGAGUGGCGGACGGGUGAGGAAUACAUCGGAAUCUACUUUUUCGUGGGGGAUAACGUAGGGAAACUUACGCUAAUACCGCAUACGACCUACGGGUGAAAGCAGGGGAUCUUCGGACCUUGCGCGAUUGAAUGAGCCGAUGUCGGAUUAGCUAGUUGGCGGGGUAAAGGCCCACCAAGGCGACGAUCCGUAGCUGGUCUGAGAGGAUGAUCAGCCACACUGGAGCUGAGACACGGUCCAGACUCCUACGGGAGGCAGCAGUGGGGAAUAUUGGACAAUGGGCGCAAGCCUGAUCCAGCCAUACCGCGUGGGUGAAGAAGGCCUUCGGGUUGUAAAGCCCUUUUGUUGGGAAAGAAAAGCAGCAGGUUAAUACCCCGCUGUUCUGACGGUACCCAAAGAAUAAGCACCGGCUAACUUCGUG
rnacentral:rRNA from 1 species